GUAAUUCCAGCUCCAAUAGCGUAUAUUAAAGUUGUUGCAGUUAAAAAGCUCGUAGUUGAACCUUGGGUCUGGCUGGCCGGUCCGCCUCACCGCGAGUACUGGUCCGGCUGGACCUUUCCUUCUGGGGAACCUCAUGGCCUUCACUGGCUGUGGGGGGAACCAGGACUUUUACUGUGAAAAAAUUAGAGUGUUCAAAGCAGGCCUUUGCUCGAAUACAUUAGCAUGGAAUAAUAGAAUAGGACGUGUGGUUCUAUUUUGUUGGUUUCUAGGACCGCCGUAAUGAUUAAUAGGGAUAGUCGGGGGCGUCAGUAUUCAGCUGUCAGAGGUGAAAUUCUUGGAUUUGCUGAAGACUAACUACUGCGAAAGCAUUCGCCAAGGAUGUUUUCAUUAAUCAGGGAACGAAAGUUAGGGGAUCGAAGACGAUCAGAUACCGUCGUAGUCUUAACCAUAAACUAUGCCGACUAGGGAUCGGACGGG
rnacentral:rRNA from 1 species